UUUUAAGCUGCUAUCUUAAAUUGCUUUCUCUUUUACCAUGGAGGGAAGGAAGAUUUAUUGUUUUUGUGAAAAAUCACAGGCUGCAACCAAAUACUGCAUGGCUUUCUCCCUUCAUUGAUCCUGAGACAAGGACAGAAGGACUGAGAGUUGGGCAGAGGAAGGGAAGAAGGGGCCAUGGAAACAAGAUGCAAGGUGUCGGAG
rnacentral:lncRNA from 1 species